rnacentral:rRNA from 1 species
UACAGAGGGUGCAAGCGUUAAUCGGAAUUACUGGGCGUAAAGCGUGCGCAGUCGGUUAUUUAAGUCGGAUGUGAAAUCCCCGGGCUCAACCUGGGAAUUGCAUUCGAUACUGGAUGGCUAGAGUUCGGCAGAGGGAAGUGGAAUUCAGGUGUAGCGGUGAAAUGCGUAGAUAUCUGAAGGAACAUCAGUGGCGAAAGCGACUUCCUGGACCAGAACUGACGAUCAGGCACGAAAGCGUGGGGAGCAAACAGGG